GCCUGGGUGGCUCAGUCGGUUGAGCGUCUGACUUCGGCUCAGGUCAUGAUCCCACGAUUCGUGAGUUCGAGUCCCGCUUCCGGCU
rnacentral:tRNA from 1 species